GCCAGGACACCGCGCUCGUCAUCGCCGCGCGCAAAGGAUUCCUGGACAUGACAGAGCAGCUGUGUGAGGCGGGGGCCGAUAUACAGGCCUUCAACGUCCGCCAGGAUUCCGCCCUCCACGUGGCCGCCAGCGGAGGACACGUGGAUGUCCUCCUCUGCCUCCUGGACCACCGCGCCAACCUCAUGGCCAGGAACAGGUACGGCGCUACGCCGUGGGACGCGGCGCAGGAGAGCGGCACAGCAAACGCUAGGAUCUGUGCUGACAUCCUGUACACCCG
rnacentral:lncRNA from 1 species